GAUGAACGCUGGCGGUAUGCUUAACACAUGCAAGUCGAACGGGGUGCAUAGUCACCUAGUGGCGGACGGGUGAGUAACGCGUGAGAAUCUGGCCUCAGGUCCGGGACAACCACGGGAAACGGUGGCUAAUACCGGAUGUGCCAUAUUGGUGAAAGAUUAAUUGCCUGAGGAUGAGCUCGCGUCUGAUUAGCUAGUUGGUGGGGUAAAGGCUUACCAAGGCGACGAUCAGUAACUGGUCUGAGAGGAUGACCAGUCACACUGGGACUGAGACACGGCCCAGACUCCUACGGGAGGCAGCAGUGGGGAAUUUUCCGCAAUGGGCGAAAGCCUGACGGAGCAAUACCGCGUGAGGGAGGAAGGCUCUUGGGUUGUAAACCUCUUUUCUCGGGGAAGAAGAAUGACGGUACCUGAGGAAUCAGCAUCGGCUAACUCCGUG
rnacentral:rRNA from 1 species